ACGGAAGGCAGCAGUCGGGAAUAUUGCGCAAUGGAGGAAACUCUGACGCAGUGACGCCGCGUAUAGGAAGAAGGUUUUCGGAUUGUAAACUAUUGUCGUUAGGGAAGAUACAAGACAGUACCUAAGGAGGAAGCUCCGGCUAACUACGUGCCAGCAGCCGCGGUAAUACGUAGGGAGCAAGCGUUAUCCGGAUUUAUUGGGUGUAAAGGGUGCGUAGACGGGAAAUUAAGCUAGUUGUGAAAUCCCUCGGCUCAACUGAGGAACUGCAACUAAAACUGGUUUUCUUGAGUGUUGGAGAGGAAAGUGGAAUCCCUAGUGUAGCGGUGAAGUGCGUAGAUAUUAGGAAGAACACCGGUGGCGAAGGCGACUUUCUGGACAAUAACUGACGUUGAGGCACGAAAGUGUGGGGAGCAAACAGGAUUAGAUACCCUGGUA
rnacentral:rRNA from 1 species